rnacentral:rRNA from 1 species
UACGAAGGGGGCUAGCGUUGCUCGGAAUUACUGGGCGUAAAGGGUGCGCAGGCGGUCGGGUGUGUCAGAUGUGAAAUCCCGAGGCUCAACCUCGGAACUGCGUCUGAAACUACUCGACUAGAGUACUGGAGAGGGUAACGGAAUUCACGGUGUAGCAGUGAAAUGCGUAGAUAUCGUGAGGAACACCAGAGGCGAAGGCGGUUACCUGGACAGUUUACUGACGCUCAGGCACGAAAGCAUGGGGAGCAAACAGG